rnacentral:rRNA from 1 species
ACGGAAGGCAGCAGUGGGGAAUAUUGCACAAUGGGGGAAACCCUGAUGCAGCGACGCCGCGUGAGUGAAGAAGUUAUUCGUAAUGUAAAGCUCUAUCAGCAGGGAAGAAAAUGACGGUACUUGACUAAGAAGCCCCGGCUAACUACGUGCCAGCAGCCGCGGUAAUACGUAGGGGGCAAGCGUUAUCCGGAUUUACUGGGUGUAAAGGGAGCGUAGACGGUUAUGUAAGUCUGAAGUGAAAUCCCCCGGCUCAACUGGGGAACUGCUUUGGAAACUAUGUAACUAGAGUGCAGGAGAGGUAAGUGGAAUUCCUAGUGUAGCGGUGAAAUGCGUAGAUAUUAGGAGGAACACCAGUGGCGAAGGCGGCUUACUGGACUGUAACUGACGUUGAGGCUCGAAAGCGUGGGGAGCAAACAGGAUUAGAUACCCUGGUA